GACGAACGCUGGCGGCGUGCUUAACACAUGCAAGUCGAGCGGUAAGGCCCUUUCGGGGGUACACGAGCGGCGAACGGGUGAGUAACACGUGGGUGACCUGCCCUUAGCUCUGGGAUAAGCCUGGGAAACUGGGUCUAACACCGGAUAUGACUCCAUGACGCAUGUUGUGGGGUGGAAAGCCUUGUGCGGCUAGGGAUGGGCCCGCGGCCUAUCAGCUUGUUGGUGGGGUGANGGCCUACCAAGGCGACGACGGGUAGCCGGCCUGAGAGGGCGACCGGCCACACUGGGACUGAGACACGGCCCAGACUCCUACGGGAGGCAGCAGUGGGGAAUCUUGCGCAAUGGGCGAAAGCCUGACGCAGCGACGCCGCGUGAGGGAUGACGGCCUGGUGUAAC
rnacentral:rRNA from 1 species